AUUGAACGCUGGCGGCAGGCCUAACACAUGCAAGUCGAACGGUAGCACAGAGAGCUUGCUCUUGGGUGACGAGUGGCGGACGGGUGAGUAAUGUCUGGGAAACUGCCCGAUGGAGGGGGAUAACUACCGGAAACGGUAGCUAAUACCGCAUAACGUCUUCGGACCAAAGUGGGGGACCUUCGGGCCUCACACCAUCGGAUGUGCCCAGAUGGGAUUAGCUAGUAGGUGGGGAAAUGGCUCACCUAGGCGACGAUCCCUAGCUGGUCUGAGAGGAUGACCAGCCACACUGGAACUGAGACACGGUCCAGACUCCUACGGGAGGCAGCAGUGGGGAAUAUUGCACAAUGGGCGCAAGCCUGAUGCAGCCAUGCCGCGUGUAUGAAGAAGGCCUUCGGGUUGUAAAGUACUUUCAGCGGGGAGGAAGGCGAUGGAGUUAAUAGCUUCAUCGAUUGACGUUACCCGCAGAAGAAGCACCGGCUAACUCCGUGCCAGCCGCCGCGGUAA
rnacentral:rRNA from 1 species